GCUCAACCGAGGAAGUGCUUCGAAAACUGGUAAACUUGAGUGCAGAAGAGGAAAGUGGAACUCCAUGUGUAGCGGUGGAAUGCGUAGAUAUAUGGAAGAACACCAGUGGCGAAGGCGGCUUUCUGGUCUGUAACUGACGCUGAGAUUCGAAAGCAUGGGUAGCAAACAGGAUUAGAUACCCUGGUAGUCCAUGCCGUAAACGAUGAGUGCUAAGUGUUGGAGGGCUUCCGCCCUUCAGUGCUGCAGCUAACGCAUUAAGCACUCCGCCUGGGGAGUACGAUCGCAAGAUUGAAAUUCAAAGGAAUUGACGGGGGCCCGCACAAGCGGUGGAGCAUGUGGUUUAAUUCGAAGCAACGCGAAGAACCUUACCAGGUCUUGACAUACCAUGAAAAGCUAAGAGAUUAGUCUUUCCCUUCGGGGACAUGGAUACAGGUGGUGCAUGGUUGUCGUCAGCUCGUGUCGUGAGAUGUUGGGCUAAGUCCCGCAACGAGCGCAACCCUUAUUAUCAGUUGCCAGCAUUCAGUUGGGCACUCUGGUGAGACUGCCGGUGACAAACCGGAGGAAGGUGGGGACGACGUCAAAUCAUCAUGCCCCUUAUGACCUGGGGCUACACACGUGCUACAAUGGUCGGUACAACG
rnacentral:rRNA from 1 species